rnacentral:miRNA from 1 species
UAAUACGUGAUUGGUGUUCCCAG